AAGGUCUCCGUUAGUAAACUAGCGGAGGGAUUAUUAUCGAGUUACCACUCCUAAACCCCCUGCGAAUACUACAGCAGUUGCCUCGGCGGGACCGCCCCGGCGCCCUAGGGCCCGGACUAGGGCGCCCGCCGGAGGACCCUUAGACCCUCCUAUUGUAGUAGCAUCUCUUAGUUAAGAAGCAAGCAAAUAAAUUAAAACUUUUAAUAACGGAUCUCUUAGUUUUAGCAUUAAUAAAGAACGCAGCGAAAUACGAUAAGUAAUGUAAAUUGUAGAAUUUAGUAAACUAUCGAAUCUUUAAACGUAUAUUACGCCCGCUAGCACUCUAGCGGGCAUGCCUGUCCGAGCGUUACCUUAACCCUUAAGCCCCCCGCCUCGCGGCGGCGGGGCCCGGCCUUAGGGGUCACGGCCCCACGCCGCCCCCUAAACGCAGUAGCGACCCCGCCGCGGCUCUCCUACGCAAUAGCUUACUAAGAACCUCGCACUAGGAGCGCGGAGGCGGUCACGCCGUAAAACCACUAUACCCUCUAGUUAACCUCGGAUUAGGUGAGGGAUACCCGCUAAACUUAAGCAUAUCAAUAAGCGGAGGA
rnacentral:rRNA from 1 species